AUUGAACGCUGGCGGCAGGCUUAACACAUGCAAGUCGAGCGGGCGAGGUUGCUUCGGUAACUGAGCUAGCGGCGGACGGGUGAGUAAAGCUUAGGAAUCUGCCUAUUAGUGGGGGACAACAUUUCGAAAGGGAUGCUAAUACCGCAUACGUCCUACGGGAGAAAGCAGGGGAUCACUUGUGACCUUGCGCUAAUAGAUGAGCCUAAGUCGGAUUAGCUAGUUGGUGGGGUAAAGGCCUACCAAGGCGACGAUCUGUAGCGGGUCUGAGAGGAUGAUCCGCCACACUGGGACUGAGACACGGCCCAGACUCCUACGGGAGGCAGCAGUGGGGAAUAUUGGACAAUGGGGGGAACCCUGAUCCAGCCAUGCCGCGUGUGUGAAGAAGGCCUUUUGGUUGUAAAGCACUUUAAGUGGGGAGGAGGCUCUCUUGGUUAAUACCUGAGAAGAGUGGACGUUACCCACAGAAUAAGCACCGGCUAACUCUGUGCCAGCAGCCGCGGUAAUGCAGAGGGUGCGAGCGUUAAUCGGAUUUACUGGGCGUAAAGCGCGCGUAGGUGGUUAAUUAAGUCAAAUGUGAAAUCCCCGAGCUUAACUUGGGAAUUGCAUUCGAUACUGGUUAGCUAGAGUAUGGGAGAGGAUGGUAGAAUUCCAGGUGUAGCGGUGAAAUGCGUAGAGAUCUGGAGGAAUACCGAUGGCGAAGGCAGCCAUCUGGCCUAAUACUGACACUGAGGUGCGAAAGCAUGGGGAGCAAACAGG
rnacentral:rRNA from 1 species